UUGAACCUAACUGGCUUUUAAAAAAUCCAUACUCCAAUUGGUGUGAUCUUGUUUUUCUUCUUCUUACUUCCCUUUUCAUUUUUCCAUCAUCAAAGCUGGCGUUCCUCAUUCCCUUACCAAUUAUUCAUUUCCUGUGCUUUGGCCAAUACAAAAUUUGUCGUCUUUUGGAGGCACUUCGAGAUCGAGUUGAGAUCCCACUGCUUAAAAAAUUUAAUAUACAAAAUUAUUCAUCACUUCUUACUCCCACGAUGUGUAACCGCAAACCUCUCGCCGAACCACUGCCCCUUUCUCCUCGAUCCAAUGGUCCCGUCCUCACACGCUCAGUAUGGAGCUCCAAUCUCGAUUUCGAAUUCAAGUUGAUUCGAUCUCUUAUCGAUUCAUUUCCUCUCAUUUCCAUGGACACUGAAUUUCCGGGUGUCAUUGUUCGUCCCGAUUCCGGUGAUCCUUCGUUCCGGCACCGUGGCGCGUGUCUCUACGCUGUUCUCAAAGCGAACGUGGACCGGUUGCACCUUAUACAGAUUGGACUCACUCUAUCCGAUCAUAAAGGUAAUCUUCCAACCCUAGGUACUCCGAAAUCUUACAUUUGGGAAUUUAAUUUUAAAGACUUUGAUGUGGCGCGUGAUGAUCAUGCUGCCGACUCGGUUGAAUUGUUGAGACGUCAAGGUAUUGAUUUUGAGAAGAAUGGUGAGUUUGGUAUUGACUCAGUUCGUUUUGCCGAAUUAAUGAUGUCGUCGGGUCUUGUAUGUGAUGAUUCUGUAAGCUGGGUAACGUUUCACAGUGCAUAUGAUUUUGGUUAUCUUGUGAAAUUGUUAACUCAACGCACUCUACCAGAUGAUCUCGAGGAAUUCCUCCGUCUUGUGAAAGUGUUUUUUGGAGACAAGGUUUUUGACGUGAAGCAUUUAAUGAGAUUCUGCUCGAACUUGCAUGGUGGGUUGGAUAGAGUUUGCCAGUCUUUGAAGGUGGAACGGCUUAUUGGAAAGAGUCAUCAAGCGGGUUCCGACAGUUUGCUUACUUUGCAUGCUUUUCAGAAUAUCAGAGAGCUUUAUUUUGGGAAAGCGGAUGGAUUUGUCAAAUAUGCUGGUGUUUUAUAUGGAACUGAGGCAAGGAAGUUAUUCUUUAAGGACGUGCUAAUACAUCAAGUUAGAAUUUAGUGUUUGCUCAGGUAGUGUUAACUUACUAAUUGAAUUCUAAACAGACGAACUUUUGCAUCACCCACAUGUUAACUAUUAUUGUAGCAGUGAUUUGUUUAACAUAAACAGUUAUGUUAGAGUUGCACUUAGUUCAUGACGAUUGAUUCAGCUUUAAAAUGUCAAGCCACCCUGUCAAAAGGAGAAUGAUAUCAUGACUGCAAAUAUGGUAUCAGUUCUCCUUGAGUAUUGGUUGGAAACUGGAAAUAACACCCACUGUCCACCUUUCAUUUGGUUGACUGCUUUAAUAGUGCCAUGGGAACUUGCUACUGCCAGGUGUAUAACACGUCAAAUCUUAUAUUUCAACCUCUGAGGUAGGGGAUGGGCUUGUUCAUAUCUUGACUUCUGUUGUUGUUAUUCUUUCCAAUUCAAUCUCAGUGUAUCUUUUGCUUUCAUGUACAAAUGUACAUGUCCACAACUCCACACGAGAAAUUUAGAUAUUUAUAGUUGCUGUGAGCUUGGGGAGCACAUUUGAACUUGACACAGUGCCUAUGCAAAUAACAAGGUUUGCAGAGGGCUAUUAGUAUGCCGAUUCGGCUGAUAAAAGAGAAGACAUCAGCAGUGUUGAGUGUUGACAAGUAGCUGCUAUAGCGGUGCUAUAGUGCUAUAGCAUAUCCGUAUUUGAACAAAUUGCUAUUGCUGCCCAAUAUGCUAUUUAGUACAAAAUGUUGUCAAAUAGCCGCAAUUUUUGUGGCGCUAUAGCAUUAACAGAUUUUGAACAAACAGCUAUUUUCCUUGAUCUGCAAUUAACAACACUGGACAGCAGUAAAAUUUCUUUGUGCCUUCAUUAACUGUUAUCUAGGUUCUUUUUCAGUUUUCGCACAUUAAAAGUUUGGGUACUUGGUUUUGCUUGGUGUAAUAUGAUAAACUUUUCUUUAUAAUUUCCUAUGUAAAAAUUUCAUUUGUUUGAUUCUUCAGCCUCUUAGUAACUUUUGACUUUAAGCUGUUUUAUUGGAAUAAACAUGAUUCCGGCAUAUACUUAUGAUGAUAAUUGAUUUAUGUCAAACUUCCAAUGGAAAAAUGGAAAAGGCAGUGGAGGAGUUUAAAGUAAAAUGCAGAACUUAGUUUGGUCACUUGCUUCAGUUCAAUGGAUACCAUUAAUGCCACUGCCUAUUUUGAACUUCCAGUCACUGGGAGAGGGGGAGGGGAAGGGGUUCUUUUUCUCAAUGAAUUGAGCAAAUGGUUUGGAACUUGAAAUAGUAUGUGGCCUGUGCAGCAUGCUUUGAUCAAUACAUUUAUAUUUAUCAUUCCAUUCCCCAUUUCCAGAGUAAUUUUGUGAAGACCUAAUAGCAAGUUUGGUAUUGUUGUCUCUUUAUUUUUAAAAUCAAAUAAAUUAAAAGCAUUGAAGUGUAAAAAGUCACAGAUGGGGAUAAUGUUAUUUUUUAUCAGAAAUUUAUUUUGACUUUCUUUUGCAUCCGACUUGCUAUUAUUGAAACUAUGAGGGGCUUCUUGUUGUAUUGUCUCUGGCACAAUGUAAUUUAGCCCAGGACCAAUUUCACGGCUUAUUUCAUCAAGUUUGGAAGAGUUGAGGUUUACCAUGAACCGUCAUUUUGUCUUUCUUGCUUGCAUAGUUAAAAACUGGUUUUUAUGCAUGUAUAUAUGUAGGCCUUGAUGUCAAAGGAAUACUAGUUGUUGAAAGUGAAUCUCUUUCCUUAUA